rnacentral:rRNA from 1 species
UGGGGGAAUUUUGGACAAUGGGCGAAAGCCUGAUCCAGCAAUGCCGCGUGUGUGAAGAAGGCCUUCGGGUUGUAAAGCACUUUUGUCCGGAAAGAAAUCCUUGGCUCUAAUACAGUCGGGGGAUGACGGUACCGGAAGAAUAAGCACCGGCUAACUACGUGCCAGCAGCCGCGGUAAUACGUAGGGUGCAAGCGUUAAUCGGAAUUACUGGGCGUAAAGCGUGCGCAGGCGGUUUGCUAAGACCGAUGUGAAAUCCCCGGGCUCAACCUGGGAACUGCAUUGGUGACUGGCAGGCUAGAGUAUGGCAGAGGGGGGUAGAAUUCCACGUGUAGCAGUGAAAUGCGUAGAGAUGGUGGAGGAAUACCGAUGGCGAAGGCAGCCCCCUGGGCCAAUACUGACGCUCAUGCACGAAAGCGUGGGGAGCAAAACAGGAUUAGAUACCCUGGUAGUCCACGCCCUAAACGAUGUCAACUAGUUGUUGGGGAUUCAUUUCCUUAGUAACGUAGCUAACGCGUGAAGUUGACCGCCUGGGGAGUACGGUCGCAAGAUUAAAACUCAAAUGAAUUGACGGGGUCAUA